rnacentral:rRNA from 1 species
UACGUAGGGUGCAAGCGUUAAUCGGAAUUACUGGGCGUAAAGCGUGCGCAGGCGGCUUUGCAAGACAGAUGUGAAAUCCCCGGGCUUAACCUGGGAACUGCAUUUGUGACUGCAUGGCUGGAGUGCGGGCAGAGGGGGGAUGGAAUUCCGGCGUGUAGCAGUGAAAAUGCGUAGAUAUGCGGAGGAACACCGAUGGCGAAGGCAAUCCCCCUGGGCCUCACUGAC